AAUAGAUACCCCGGUAGUCCACGCCGUAAACGAUCGAGUGCUAAGUGUUACGAGGGUUUCCGCCCUUUAGUGCUGCAGCUAACGCAUUAAGCACUCCGCCUGGGGAGUACGGUCGCAAGACUGAAACUCAAAGGAAUUGACGGGGGCCCGCACAAGCGGUGGAGCAUGUGGUUUAAUUCGAAGCAACGCGAAGAACCUUACCAGGUCUUGACAUCCUCUGACAACUCUAGAGAUAGAGCGUUCCCCUUCGGGGGACAGAGUGACAGGUGGUGCAUGGUUGUCGUCAGCUCGUGUCGUGAGAUGUUGGGUUAAGUCCCGCAACGAGCGCAACCCUUGAUCUUAGUUGCCAGCAUUUAGUUGGGCACUCUAAGGUGACUGCCGGUGACAAACCGGAGGAAGGUGGGGAUGACGUCAAAUCAUCAUGCCCCUUAUGACCUGGGCUACACACGUGCUACAAUGGAUGGUACAAAGGGCUGCAAGACCGCGAGGUCAAGCCAAUCCCAUAAAAACCAUUCUCAGUUCGGAUUGUAGG
rnacentral:rRNA from 1 species